GACGAACGCUGGCGGCGUGCUUAACACAUGCAAGUCGAGCGAGGCCCCUCCUUCGGGAGGGUGUCCUAGCGGCGAACGGGUGAGUAACACGUGGGCAACCUGCCCUCAGCUCUGGGAUAACUCCGGGAAACCGGGGCUAAUACCGGAUACGACCUCCACGGGCAUCUGCGGAGGUGGAAAGUUUUUCGGCUGAGGAUGGGCCCGCGGCCUAUCAGCUAGUUGGUGGGGUAGUGGCCCACCAAGGCGACGACGGGUAGCCGGCCUGAGAGGGCGACCGGCCACACUGGGACUGAGACACGGCCCAGACUCCUACGGGAGGCAGCAGUGGGGAAUAUUGCGCAAUGGGCGAAAGCCUGACGCAGCGACGCCGCGUGGGGGACGAAGGCCUUCGGGUUGUAAACCUCUUUCAGCAGGGACGAAGCGAAAGUGACGGUACCUGCAGAAGAAGCACCGGCCAACUACGUG
rnacentral:rRNA from 1 species